AACGAACGCUGGCGGCAGGCUUAACACAUGCAAGUCGAACGCAUCCUUCGGGGUGAGUGGCAGACGGGUGAGUAACGUGUGGGAACGUGCCCUUCAGUUCGGGAUAACCCAGGGAAACUUGGGCUAAUACCGGAUACGUGCGAGAGCAGAAAGAUUUAUCGCUGAAGGAUCGGCCCGCGUCUGAUUAGCUAGUUGGUGGGGUAAUGGCCCACCAAGGCGACGAUCAGUAGCUGGUCUGAGAGGAUGAUCAGCCACAUUGGGACUGAGACACGGCCCAAACUCCUACGGGAGGCAGCAGUGGGGAAUAUUGGACAAUGGGCGCAAGCCUGAUCCAGCCAUGCCGCGUGAGUGAUGAAGGCCUUAGGGUUGUAAAGCUCUUUCGUCCGGGACGAUAAUGACGGUACCGGAAGAAGAAGCCCCGGCUAACUUCGUACCAGCCGCCGCGGUAA
rnacentral:rRNA from 1 species